UGGGCCUGUAGCUCAGCUGGUUAGAGCGCACGCUUGAUAAGCGUGAGGUCGAUGGUUCAAGUCCAUCUAGGCCCAU
rnacentral:tRNA from 1 species